AUGAUGAAGGCAAGAACCGUAGGCGGCAGCGGUGGAGUAGGUACAGAUGAUGAAGUGGUGGCGAUAACGGGAUUGCCAACGGUUAACAGCGUGGUGGUGGCUAGCAGAGUGGAUGGACGGGAUGAUCUCUGGCGGUGGAGUAGAAACAGCAGGUGGUGGUGCUCUAGCAUGCUGCGCAUUCCAAUCGUGUGCGCUACAUGGCAAACAAAUUCACUGUUCUUGACAACAGCUCUUCUAAUUCGUGAUGUUCAGGUUGAGCCGCUCCACCCUAUAGUGGCCUGCAGACCUCUCUUGCCGCUGCAGCCGGGCAGUGCGCUGGCGGCUGGUCUUCAGGACAUCUCUAGCUGUAUGGUUGCCGUGAGUUUGAUUGUGCAUUGUCUUGACCGAGUUAAUGACGAAGGAGUUCCGCUCAUGGCCUUUGAGUCGCCAACCUUAUACCAACUAGUUAGGGAAGGUUGGAAUAAGUGCAAACAAGCCGAACAGCUAAUAUGUCCAAAGGAUCCGCCCCCGGUCCGAUGUCAUCGUUUGGAAUGUCGGUCCAUCUUCUUGGCGGCACAUUCCUACCCGUUGAAGUCUUGGUUUGAUACGCUCAACUUGCAACACAAUGUUAUAUUCUGGUGGCUCAUCCACAACAUGCAGUAUGUAGAUUGUUCCCAAUACCUCACAAUCCAGUACCGUACUCAUGUAUGGGCUGCUUCUUACGAACUGCCUCUAGGGCAGUUGCCCAAAACUGUCUUGAGGCAAUUUCUCUGCAUCUCUACCUCUGGAUUGGCUACUGCACAAGGGAGCUCGUGUGACGGUGCAAGACAGAAGAACGAGCCGUGCAUAGGAGGGAGUUGCUGGGCUUGCGAUUUGUCUCAGCGGAACUCAUGCUUCGACCAAGCCGAGCCCAAGCCCAGUUUUGAGAGCUUCGAGGAGCCUGGCCGAGCCAAGCCACAAGCUGGGUCAGCUAGGCUUGUUUCCCUAGCAAGUGUUUACAUUUCAUUUUUCAUGAGGAGAAGAAGAAAGGAGGAGGUAGAUCAUACCAUGGUGGCUAAGGUGCGAGAGAUGAAGAGAAAUCUUAUCUCUGUGAGUGCCCUUGAUGCAAAGGGGUACAAGUAUUCAGGUGGAGAUAGUGUUUUGAAAGUCACCAAAUGUUCUCUUAUUGUGAUGAAAGAGUUAAAUAAGAGAGGUCUUCUUGAUGGAUAUGAACCUGGUAAAUUGAAAUUUUGUGAGCAUUGUAUCUUCGGCAAGCACAAGAGGGUGAAGUUCAACACUUCGGUUCGUACAACUGAAGUUUUUGGUUGCACUGCUUAUGCUCAUGUUGAUAAUGGAAAGUUGGAGCCUAGGGCUGUUAAGUGCAUCUUUCUUGGUUAUAAGUCUGGUGUUAAAGGAUUUAAAUUAUGGAAUCCUGAAACCCAGAAGGUUGUUAUUAGCAGAAAUGUCAUCUUUAAUGAAUCUACUAUGUUACAUGAUGUUCCAUAUACUAAUGUUCCUUUUGAGAGUGAACAGCAGCCUACUGUUCAGCAACCUACUAUUCAGGUGGAGCAUGUUAUUGAUUCAGGUGAUACAUCUAGUAAGGAGAAUGUUGAUGACAUGAUGAUCCCAUCGUUGAUGAUGAACAUGUCACUCCCACUCCAAAUCAGCCUAUUGUUCCACCCAGUUGAAAUCUCGCACGUGACAAAGUUAGCGGGUCCUAUGGACUUUGACGUACAAGGUGUUUAUGCUGAUUUGGAUGGAGUUAUUCACUUUGUUCGACUACUGGAGGAAAUUUGGCUCAAGGCACGAUCCCACACCCACGCAGCCUCCUCGUCUCCCGCACCCCAUGGCUCCUAUCCCGUCUCUCUCCUGGCUCCUGAGAAAAAAAUAUCUCCUGCUCUCGCCUCCUCGUCCGCCCCGCGGUCGCGGUCCAGGCCAUCGGCGUUGGGAUCCAGUCCCAUGAAGAAAUUCUCUACUCCUCCCUCUUACCUGUACCACUCUAGAUCGCCUCCAACCAUCGUCGAGCUUGGCGGCAGCGCAGAAGGAGAGCGCUGGUACGUCGGCGCUAGAGGACGUACUGGGCCUGGGGGUGGUUUGCAGGUGCAGCCGUACAACUCGGCCAUGGCGGAUGUCGGCGCCGAGUGGUGCGGCGAGUGCCAGGCUUCUAGAGGGCGCCGCGGGUAUGACAGCGGGGUGCCGGAUGAUCACACGUGCUUCUGCUCCAGCGGACAGGCUAGCAGGUCGUGUCCUACUACUUCUUUAGGUUCAGGUACCCUUGAUCGAUCCAAGUGGAAAUCUGAACCGUGCCCACGAUGCGCCAGGGCUGGGAUCAUCACGGCGCCUGCACAGGGUGAUAUGAGUGCAGCGCAACCGAUGCAUCCUCUCCACCCGCCGCCGGUGAGGACUCUGAGGAUGGGUACCAAUGACGGUUUGCGCUUCCCUUGUCGUUCCUCCCAUGACCUCUUCUUGUUUCUCAUCGGCACUCCUCAUUCUCUGAUUACAAGGUCUCUUUUUCAUCAUACAAGCAAGGAGACUCAUCGAUCAGAGAACCGGUGCAUGCGUGCCGCGUGCGGCAUGGCAUUGGAGAAUAGUGAAGCAAGCCCAUGGAUGAAGAAUCAUUGGCACCGGCCUAUGGCAGCAUUACCAGAUGCGUACGCAGUUCGUGCGAAGGGACCCCUCAUUGCUUCGACGCUGAUUCAGUGGGAAUCACCAGUUCACCGCCGCCACUGUUCUCUCCUAGAUUUGGUGGUGCAGAAGUCAGCGGUGUUGGCGCGCUGCAGCCUGCAGGUCAUGGAUGUGAAGAAGCAGGCCCUGAUUCUGAACUAUGGGAGGGUAUCUGUAGUAUGCUUCAGUUUAGUGAGCUUGUUUCUUUUACCUGAUUCAGUGCAUUGUAGCGGCCAGCCGGCCACUCGCUCUCCAAAUCCUGAACCUGCCCAUGGGUCCGAUGGACACGCACAGCGACUCGGAUCUGCGGGCUCCAUGAUCACCACGGCUGCCUCCAGGGCUUGCCGCUGGCAGUCACCGAACCCUCACCGGAUUGACCCCACAACCGACCAUCGUCCUCCUCUCAUUAGUUGGCUUCCCUCUACCGGAUCGGAUUUUUUUGGUUGGCUUGUAGUGCAUGUUCACCUGUACGAGCUAGAACUUCCUUUGUGUUUGUGGAAGUGGGAAAUAGUACUUCCAGUAUUUGUAAUUUUGAAUCAUGGUCAAUCAAUCAGUCAUGGAUCUGAUGGCAUAUCUUCCAUUUCGACUGCAGCAAUGUGCGGCGGCGCAUGUGGAGUAGGAGGUACCGAGGUAGAAGAGAAGAUGGAGAAGCUUUAUGGACACACAAAAUUUAUGAGGAGACUGGCUGAGAGGGUAAUACACUCAAGGUCUCCCAUGCACAUGGAUCCGAAAUGCUACUCAAUAUACUGCUCCAAGUUCCUAAGAAGAAGACCUCCAAGAUGGUGA
rnacentral:rRNA from 1 species